rnacentral:antisense_RNA from 1 species
CUUCAGCGAACCCAGGUACAGCGGGACGUCGCGGUCCUGCCCGUAGGUGGCCAGCACCGCGUCGGCCUC